GGAGUAAGGAAGGAUGGAAGACAGCCCUUGAGAACUGAGGCAGGUGAGUCAAAGUGGAAACACAGCGGUUUCUGCCAUCCAUAAGCUCUCCGUGCACACACCAGGAAAGAAGUAUUACAGAACAGGUUACAGCAAUGAAGAAGGGCAGCUGGUGAGAUUAUGAUGACAGCUGGUGGCUCUGUGUGAUGGAUGGCUUGGGAAAUGACAAGACCUGGACAAGAAGAGCAGUCAGCAGAUUGUACCAGCAUUUUGGACUUCAAUGGAAGAGACUAGAAGGCUCAAAGAGCCUUCACACUGAAGCUGUGCACACAUCUGGUUCUCUUCUCAACACUGCCUCCAUUCUAGAGGCAGUCACAUGGGAAAGAAGAGGUCUGUCCCUGGAGCCUGUGCUCAGAGUGACUCGGGAAUGAUGAGACCCAAGAAGACUAAAACUCAGGUUCUAUGAGUUACACAGAAGGGUGUGAUCCUCAGUUCCAGAGGAACUCUAGAAAUUCAUCCUGUAAAUCAAAAGAGGUCCAUCUAAAAAGCCUGCUGGACACCGGCUGCCUGUGGUUUGGAGGGACUCCAAAAAUAAAGAUGCUUUACAUUGCAAGCCACGGUGUGUUGGCUAGUGCUU
rnacentral:lncRNA from 1 species